AUGCGAUGAUGAUUCAACUGGUUUCAAUUCACUGACAAUAAAAUGAGGAUGUGAAUUUCCUUGGCUGUGUCUGAGCAU